UACGAAGGGGGCUAGCGUUGUUCGGAUUUACUGGGCGUAAAGCGCGUGUAGGCGGCUAAGUAAGUCGGGCGUGAAAUCCCACGGCUCAACCGUGGAAGUGCACUCGAAACUGCAUAGCUAGAGUCCUGGAGAGGAAGGUGGAAUGCUUGGUGUAGAGGUGAAAUUCGUAGAUAUCAAGCGGAACACCGGUGGCGAAGGCGGCCUUCUGGUCUGCUCUUGACGCUGAGGCGCGAAAGCUAGGGUAGCAAACGGG
rnacentral:rRNA from 1 species